CAUUGGGCCUUUCUUGAUUUCCUCAGCUGGGCCCAAAUUCUCCCUUCUCUCUCCUUGCAUAGGAUUCAAACUGUCUUAGGCCACUAACCACUUCCAUAUCAUGCAUACAUACAUGUGGUCAGCCAUUCAACAUGUUCUGAGCCUCUCGCAUGCAGUGCUGCAUGUAGAAAUAGGUCCCAGCCCUGAGAGUACUAACUGCAUGGAGACUUGAUACCAGUGUGGGCCAGGAUAUGUCUGUUUUGAAUGAGUGAAAGCACUCGAUACUCCCUGAUGUUUAAAGGAGGUCUGGAGGGGGACCCAGUGAUGAGUUGGAUGUGCUGUGUAGAAAGCUGGGUGGUUGGUCCUUUAUCGCCGUCUAUGCCAGCAGACCUUCUGACUUGUCUAGGAAGGAGCAAAUUGAAACAGCCCCUCUUUCAUCCUCUUCUGAGGAUGGCCUGCUCUUCUGGCUCAGACACCUCCCCUCUACGUGCCUGGCUUGCUCCUGGGGGCCAGGUGCUCACAAAUGGCCAGGAUGUCGUGAGCAAGACUAGCAGGGUUUAUGAUUGUCCUGAGGGCUUCCUGUGGUUGGGGGCAGCCUGACCUUGCAAGUGAACCAAGACUGUCCACCUGUCCACCAAGACUUUCCAAAUGCUGUGCUGAGUCCACGGAGUCAUGUUUAAGCUCUGGGUGUGGAGGAAAGAGAGAAACACCAAGUUUUAUAGAAAGUUCUAGAGCAGGGGUCAGCAAACCCCAGUCCACGGGCCAGAGUCUGGCCUGCCCCCUGUGUGUGUCCAGCCCACAAGCAGAGAAUGGUUCUGGCAUGUUUGAACGCAUGGGGGAAAAUAUCAAAAGAAGGAGAGUAUUUCAUGGCAAGUGAAAAUGAUAUGAAAUUCAAAUUGCCACGUCCAUAAAUAAAGUUGUGCUGGAACACAGCCCUGCUCGUUUGUUUCCAUCUCGUCCGUGGUUGCUUAGGCGCCACAACAGCAGCGCUGAGGAGUUACGACAGAGUUCGCAAUGCCCACGAAGCCUAAAUAUUUAUUCUCUGGCCCUCUACGGGGUGAAGUUCUUUCUAGAUCCAUCCCUUUUGGUCAAGAAUAAAGGAUCCCCAGCGUGCAGGGCCAGUCAGCUAGAGGCCCGGGAUCAAAGGCACAUGUUCAGGGGCCUGCAAAUGGACAAAGCCUUGGCUUGGGGUUUGGUAUCCUGAGUUUCUGUGUGGUUUGGGGUGAGACCUUCUCCUCGCUGGGUCAUCGGUUUGGGCUGCGUGGUCUCUAAGGCCCCAUCUCCCUCACAGGUGGGUGUGCUGCUCUGGUCUACAGGGUGUGUAUUGCAGAAGGAUGGCUCCGGGGCUUCGGCCUGGGGACCCAUCAGGGUCCCAGCUUGGCCCACUGGUGGACACAGGAGCCCCUUGGCUGCCCCACCAGGAGCCCCUUGGCUCCCCCACCACUCACCAGGACCACCAUCUCUUUCCCCCCAUCGAUCUGUGUUUGGACUCAGUUCAGCUAAUUUUUGAAGCACCCCAGGUCUAGGCGGACUGUAAUUAUGUAAUUCGUCCUUGUUAUCUUUUCUAAUUGUUCUCAGAGCUGUUUCCUAAACUGAUUGGAAACAAUUGCAGGCAGGGAAUGGAGUGGGAAGUAGGCAAGGACCUGGCGGCCGGCCAGGACCAGGCUGUCUGCUGGAGGCCCUGUCUGAGGGGGUGGGCGCAGGGUGGGGACGGAGAGGGUGACUGCCCACGGUUCCUUGCAUCUGGGCAGUGGGGGGGACAAGAAGAAACCCUCAGCGAGGCUCGGUUUAAUCAUUCGCAAAUAACAACCCUCCCUCCCCACAGGCCGGCUGUUUUCCCUUUCUUGGCGGCUUCUGUGACGCUGGUACAACUCCCUAGGGAUUCUGCCCCGGGCCAACAGGGAGCAGCGCCCUUCCCUCCUGGCUCUGAAUUGUUUGUGCUUUCUUGACAGAAAAAAAUUGCAACUCUUGAGCCAUCCAUCACCCCCCGCCGAAAGCCAGGGAGGGCAAGGGGAGGGACGAGGUGGGACUUCCUGCCACUUCGGGUCAGAGCGGGAGAAAAGGGACUCUCUGGGUCAUGUCUCCCGGGAAGGGCAGCCAAGGUGCUACUUUCCGUGGGCCAGAACCCCAGGAAAGGGACCCACAUGUUCCCUGCAGGACCCUGCUGUGGGAAACGUGGCCCCUGGCUGCACAGUGCUCUGCGCCGCUGGGGCCAGGCAGAGGACAGCACAUGCUGGCACUUGGUCGGGGGCACCCAUCUCUUCCUCCUGCUCUUCCUUAAGGUGAGCCUCAGCUCCUUGUCUGUGACCAUGACAUCCCCCCCCUCGCCCAUUCCUCUCCUCACCUGCCUGCAGAAACCUUCAUUCCUAUCCUGGCUCAUCGGUAAUGAACCUGAUUAGUAUCCAUGAGGAUGAGGGUUUGAUCCCUGGCCCUGCUCAGUGAGUGAAGAAUCCAGCGUUGCCGUGAGCUGUGGUGUAGGUCGCAGACGUGGCUCGGAUCCCGUGUUGCUGUGGCCCUGGUGUUGGCCGGCAGCUGCAGCUCCAAUUUUAAUCCCUAGCCUGGACCAUAUGCUGCAAGUAUGGCCCUAAAGAGAGAAGAAAAUGCCGAGUUUCCUAGAAAGGGCAGAUGAGCUGGGACAGGGAGGAGACACCCACCGUGCGGGGCACUUAAUGCCCCCCCCACCUGUCGUCAGCAUCGUCUCUGUUAAAUUCACAAACCCCCUCUGAGGGAGGGGAGAUGGGAGGCCCAUUCUUCAAUGGGGAAAAGAAGGGUUGAACGAUUCCACAAACACGGGUGAAGCACCCCGUGUGUGACAGGGACUAGAGAAGGCGCUGGACACAGGAGGUGGAAGCAGACGGACCUGACCCUCCAGGCUGCCAUGAUGGUGAAGCCAUGUGUCUGCCUCCCAGCUCCUUCCAUCAGACUGAAGCUGCCCGUCGAGGCAGAGACGGGUUAAGCAGACUCCGCGUUAUUUGCUUGGAGGACCUCAGCCCAGGGUCCCUUUGUGUAUUGGGGGGGGGGGAGCGAGGAACCAUCACUGGGGUGUGGCGGGGCACGGGGCACAGGUGUCCAUCUGCUGGGUACCACUCUCUCCCUCUUCUUGUUUCCCAGCUGCUGGACGAGAGUGUGAGGGGUGCCUGUGGCAUGUUGGGGACCCAAAGUCCAGCCCUCUCCCAAGAUUGCUGGAACCUCCCGCCACCUCUACAGCUUAGCAUUGCCUUGGUUGGGACAUCUAGGGGUCACUGACCCAUUUCACGGCAGAGCCCGCUCCUGUGCCCCAUUUCCUGUUCCGUCAGGGAGGUCGGUCUCCAGACGGUAGUUGUCAGUAGAUCCAGCCUGUGUGGCCCUGGAGGGGACUCUGGGGCCCAGCAUUUCUCAGCCUUUUCCUCAUUAUCACUUUUCUCCACUAGGAGGAAAAGUCAACUAAAUUGAGAUUUUUUGAGUGAGGAGGUAGCCAAGGUAUGAGAAUUUGAGUUUUGGAAGGUCACAGAGGCUGUAAUAACCAAGAGGGGGUUGCCCUCCUUUUUUGCCCUCUUGGGGGCGCUGUUGCCCCCUUGAGAAUGCAUGUCGUCGGCUUUCCAGAACUUGUUUCCAAAUUAGGUACCAUUUCUCUGUAGUCUCCUUUAACACAUAAAAACAAGGGUCUUCGCGAAUGAAGAACACGGUUUCAAGGACCGAGUCAGACACACAAAUUUGGCACUAAAUCUGCUGCUGGAGCAAAUGGUUCUCCAUGUCUGAGCCUCACUUUUUCCAUUUAUAAAACUCAGAACCUGCUUCUGCUCCCUCAACCAACCAGGAGGCCACCCCUAGGGUCAUGCACGCCUGAUACUGGCCACACGCGUGGGCCUCACAGUGGGGUCAGGGGUCAAGGCCCUAUUCUUCCCUUAGCACCCUCACCUCCCAGCCAGAGGAGGGGUGCCCCAGUGGGCGGAGCCCUGCUCUCACCCCCAUGGCUGGCAGCUCUUCGGUCGUCACUGUGGGACAGUAGAAGGCUGGGGAUGGGCUGCGCUGGUGGGUGGGGUUUGCAGGAGAAUCAGGGGACUGUGCGGCCCCUUUGUCGUCUUCUCCUUGGCCUCCCUUCUUUCUGCAGCCCUGUUUGAGCACGGGUUUCCCUCUGCCGGGAAGGUCUUCUUGCUCCUUCUCCAGGGACCAAAACCCCACUGGACUGCCUUCCUUCUGAGCGGGGAGCCUCUGGCCUGCACUCCAUGAAGUGUGUUCUCAGCUUUAGGGCCACUGGAUAGGGUGAGCCUGGGGGAAGCAGAAGGGCUGCAGAAGCCCCCGGAGGCCUCCAGAGAGGAACAAGCAAGUCACCCAGGGUCCCACCCGGUCACCUGAUGCAUAGCUUCAUGGGCGGCACAAAUGAGAAACAGGCUCCUGGAGUCUGGCCAUGGCUUCUCUUUCCUCCAGCGUCUCGCUCCUCCCUCUUUUUCUCUUCCCUUCCUUCCUCCUUGAGUCCGUGCCUGGCUGGGUGUCCGCCCGCUGGCCUGCCUCUGAUUGGGCUGAAAGGCAGGUACCCCCAGUCAAGGCAGGGCUUGAGGUGGGAUGGGAGGAGGAGGCGUGGGGGGAAGGGGGGCGAAGAGGGGCCCAAUAAGUGGAAAUUAGCCCCUCCCCCCACCGCCCAGGUCAGCCCACCGAGUCCCUUCCCUUUCCCAUCAAGGUCAUAAAAUCCACUUCUAACUUUUACCAAUUUCCCCGCUAGUACCAGAAACACACAAUUAGCUUUAAACGUGUCUCCAAGCUGUGGCCAGUUAGAAAUUUAUGACUUUUUCUUUUUUUUUUUUCUUUUAAAGCUUUCCUUUAAAGUGGCUAAUUAGGUGUAUUUCUCCAAUAGCAAUUUUUAAAAUGCUAAUUGGUCUGCACUCUGGAAGGAGGGGAACUUUCCCCCUUUAUUAUCUCAGCGCUGAGGAGGCAUGGGAGGGACCAGCCCAGCCUGAGUGGUCUGCAGCCUCCAAGGCCAGGGGCCCGGCGCCGGCCUUUUAUGGCUUUGGCAGCGAGGAGGGGGUCAGGGAGAAAGGUUUUCCGUGUUCCAGGCGGCUUCCUUGGGAAGGGGGUGUGGCACAGAGCAUCUGCGGAGGGCUACCGGGGAAGGGCAGGGCCACAGUGGUUCACCCACCUGGUGCAGUGGGGCCCAGACAGAUGCCUUCACAGUGGCUUCCAGGAAGGAUGGAAGGGAGGGGAGGGUGCCUGGAGAGCUGACCCCUAGCAAGACUAGCACAGAUCUUGAGGGCUGCUAAACCCCAAGUAGGCAGAAUAUGCACUUUAGGGGAGGCUGUUUAUUCCAAGAACAAUUCCAAAUCGAACUUUCUCAAAGGGGCAGAGGCCAUGGUGUGUGGUGUCCUCACAAACUCUUGACUCCUUGGCUAAAGGGCUUGCUCGGGAGAUGGUCUGGGGCAUCCAGACCAUGCUGCCCCAGGGUUGCACCACCCAGCAUGGGCUGGUGGGGUGGUGGUGGGGGGCAGUGAGCAGUGCCUUCUUCUGGAGGAAUGUCACGUUUUCCCCUGGGUGCAGGCACUCGUGGCUCUCGUCCUGCCAUCCAUCCCCGUGCGUUGCUAUGCGAAUAACACAAUUACGAAGACACAGCACAGGAAUAAACGGAAAACAUUCUGCAGCAGGGGGAGUGGGAGGGAGGACCAGUCACAAACAGAUAUUUUGUUAUUGGAUCAUUUCGGGGAGGAGUGGAAUUCUUUAAAUCCUGGGCUGUUGUAGAAGGGAGGAGUGAUGGACAAUUGAACAGAUUCCUCAGUUUUAUUUUUCAACAUUAGCUUGUUUUAUGCAUCUCUCCCAGCUCACCUCCUCUCUUUGGCUCCAUUGCCCUCUCGAGGAAAACCAGAUGCUACUCUAGCCCCGAGUCUGCAACCACGGCCCUACUCUGCUCAUGGACUCAGUUUACCCAUCAGUCAACUAGGAGGGGAGGCUGCCCCAGAAUUGGCCGAGGACAGAUGGAUUAGGGCGGGUGGAGCGGGGUCUGAAUCCUGGCUCUGCCCUUCCCAGCUGGGUGAGCUUGGGAGCAUCACUUGACUUCCUAAGCUUUGGUCUAUUGGGAAUGAAUCAAAUGAAAUAAUGCUCAAAUUGUGCAAAGUGGAAAUAGAGCCUUGAUACAAUUGUUAACACAAAAGUGAACUGAGAUGGUGGAUGCAAAGUAUCAGGCAUGGAGCUGGAAACGUGUGGCUCUCUGGAGGGCGGCUUCUACCUUAAGAAUAAUCUUUCUUGGGAGCUCCCAUUUGGGCUCAGUGGGUUACAAACCUGACUAGUAUCCAUGAGGACGCAGGUUCAAUCCCUGACCUCGCUCGGUGGGUUAAGGAUCGGGCAUGGCCAUGAGGUUUGAUAUAGGUCGCAGAUACGGCUCGGAUCUGGCAUUGCUGCAGCUAUGGCACAGACAGGCAGCUGCAGCUCCAGUUCAGCCCCUAGUCUGGGAACUUCCAUAUGCCGCAGGUA
rnacentral:lncRNA from 1 species